AUGAGCGAGCUAAGAAGUGUUAGAAAAACAAAGUAAAGAGAGGUUGAAAUGAACAAAUUGGGAUGAUGCCAAUUGACCUUUGUACCCUNNNNNNNNNNNNNNNNNNNNNNNGAGAGGUUGAAAUGAACAAUUGGGAUGAUGCCAAUUGACCUUUGUACCCUCAAAGUCAUUUUAGAACCGAUAACUGUGGCUAGGUGCAUUGCACAUAAAGUGAGAUUAUCUUAUGUUAAAUGACCUAACGCUAAUGUGAUGACCUCAUUUUGUUAUAUUUAUAGCAGAAGGGUGGUUGGUUUGUGGUUUUUAAAGUGUUAACUCUUCUCUACAACAUAAAGUCAAAGGCAAUGGCAGACAACAACAGAACUGAGUUGGUUGAUACCGGUUCCCGAAAGCAGUUGGUUGAACGGGACAAUGGGUUGGUUGAAGAGGUAAAGAUAUUAAGACAACACAUGGCGGACAUGUAUCAGGUUUGGAUGACUGGGAAGGCACCACCCCCGCCACCACCUAGCC
rnacentral:lncRNA from 1 species